rnacentral:rRNA from 1 species
UUGCUUCUUUGCUGACGAGUGGCGGACGGGUGAGUAAUGUCUGGGAAACUGCCUGAUGGAGGGGGAUAACUACUGGAAACGGUAGCUAAUACCGCAUAACGUCGCAAGACCAAAGAGGGGGACCUUCGGGCCUCUUGCCAUCGGAUGUGCCCAGAUGGGAUUAGCUAGUAGGUGGGGUAACGGCUCACCUAGGCGACGAUCCCUAGCUGGUCUGAGAGGAUGACCAGCCACACUGGAACUGAGACACGGUCCAGACUCCUACGGGAGGCAGCAGUGGGGAAUAUUGCACAAUGGGCGCAAGCCUGAUGCAGCCAUGCCGCGUGUAUGAAGAAGGCCUUCGGGUUGUAAAGUACUUUCAGCGGGGAGGAAGGGAGUAAAGUUAAUACCUUUGCUCAUUGACGUUACCCGCAAAAGAAGCACCGGCUAACUCCGUGCCAGCAGCCGCGGUAAUACGGAGGGUGCAAGCGUUAAUCGGAAUUACUGGGCGUAAAGCGCACGCAGGCGGUUUGUUAAGUCAGAUGUGAAAUCCCCGGGCUCAACCUGGGAACUGCAUCUGAUACUGGCAAGCUUGAGUCUCGUAAAGGGGGGUAGAAUUCCAGGUGUAGCGGUGAAAUGCGUAGAGAUCUGGAGGAAUACCGGUGGCGAAGGCGGCCCCCUGGACGAAGACUGACGCUCAGGUGCGAAAGCGUGGGGAGCAAACAGGAUUAAAUACCCUGGUAGUCCACGCCGUAAAACGAUGUCGACUUGGAGGUUGUGCCCUUGAGGCGUGGCUUCCCGGAGCUAACGCGUUAAGUCGACCGCCUGGGGAGUACGGCCGCAAGGUUAAAACUCAAAUGAAUUGACGGGGGCCCGCACAAGCGGUGGAGCAUGUGGUUUAAUUCGAUGCAACGCGAAGAACCUUACCUGGUCUUGACAUCCACGGAAGUUUUCAGAGAUGAGAAUGUGCCUUCGGGAACCGUGAGACAGGUGCUGCAUGGCUGUCGUCAGCUCGUGUUGUGAAAUGUUGGGUUAAGUCCCGCAACGAGCGCAACCCUUAUCCUUUGUUGCCAGCGGUCCGGCCGGGAACUCAAAGGAGACUGCCAGUGAUAAACUGGAGGAAGGUGGG